GUACACUCCUGCGGGAGGCAGCAGUGGGGAAUAUUGGACAAUGGGCGCAAGCCUGAUCCAGCCAUGCCGCGUGAGUGAUGAAGGCCCUAGGGUUGUAAAGCUCUUUCACCGGUGAAGAUAAUGACGGUAACCGGAGAAGAAGCCCCGGCUAACUUCGUGCCAGCAGCCGCGGUAAUACGAAGGGGGCUAGCGUUGUUCGGAUUUACUGGGCGUAAAGCGCACGUAGGCGGACUAUUAAGUCAGGGGUGAAAUCCCGGGGCUCAACCCCGGAACUGCCUUUGAUACUGGUAGUCUUGAGUUCGAGAGAGGUGAGUGGAAUUCCGGGUGUAGAGGUGAAAUUCGUAGAUAUUCGGAGGAACACCAGUGGCGAAGGCGGCUCACUGGCUCGAUACUGACGCUGAGGUGCGAAAGCGUGGGGAGCAAACAGGAUUAGAAACCCCUGUAGUCCCA
rnacentral:rRNA from 1 species